CCUCUCCAUGCUAAUAAAUUUUUUUCUCCUUAUAUGUCUAAUAUUUUGAGGAGAUUUUUUGUAAAAGAUUAGUAGGAGAACUGUUUUACAAUAAACAAAUAUAAGAGGGGCAUUCCAUAUUUUUUUGAUAUAUUUUGAGAUAUAAAAUUUUGAAAGGAAAUAGAAGCCUAUAAAAGUCUAGGAUCACUAGGACUCUUCACCCCACCUCCUUACAUGCU
rnacentral:lncRNA from 1 species